rnacentral:rRNA from 1 species
AGAAGCGGGUCCUACACAUGCAGUCGAGCGGUAAGGCCUUUCGGGGUACACGAGCGGCGAACGGGUGAGUAACACGUGGGUGAUCUGCCCUGCACUUCGGGAUAAGCCUGGGAAACUGGGUCUAAUACCGGAUAUGACCUCCUAUCGCAUGGUGGGUGGUGGAAAGAUUUAUCGGUGCAGGAUGGGCCCGCGGCCUAUCAGCUUGUUGGUGGGGUAAUGGCCUACCAAGGCGACGACGGGUAGCCGACCUGAGAGGGUGACCGGCCACACUGGGACUGAGACACGGCCCAGACUCCUACGGGAGGCAGCAGUGGGGAAUAUUGCACAAUGGGCGAAAGCCUGAUGCAGCGACGCCGCGUGAGGGAUGACGGCCUUCGGGUUGUAAACCUCUUUCAGCAGGGACGAAGCGCAAGUGACGGUACCUGCAGAAGAAGCACCGGCUAACUACGUGCCAGCAGCCGCGGUAAUACGUAGGGUGCAAGCGUUGUCCGGAAUUACUGGGCGUAAAGAGUUCGUAGGCGGUUUGUCGCGUCGUUUGUGAAAACCAGCAGCUCAACUGCUGGCUUGCAGGCGAUACGGGCAGACUUGAGUACUGCAGGGGAGACUGGAUUUCCUGGUGUAGCGGUGAAAUGCGC